rnacentral:rRNA from 1 species
CAGUAGCCGCGGGAAUACGAAGGGUGCAAGCGUUAAUCGGAAUUACUGGGCGUAAAGCGCACGUAGGCGGAUCGAUCAGUCAGGGGUGAAAUCCUGGAGCUCAACUCCAGAACUGCCUUUGAUACUGUCGAUCUCGAGUCCGGAAGAGGUGAGUGGAACUCCUAGUGUAGAGGUGGAAUUCGUAGAUAUUAGGAAGAACACCAGUGGCGAAGGCGGCUCACUGGUCCGGUACUGACGCUAAGGUGCGAAAGCGUGGGGAGCAAACAGGAUUAGAUACCCGCGUAGUCCCUGUCUCUUAUAU